rnacentral:lncRNA from 1 species
AUAUGAUAUGGGACAAAAUACAGCACUUAAAGAGAGGUGUUGCUCAGGCCAGCCACUAUAAUCCACCCAUCAGCCAGAACAUUUUAUUUCUUCUAAAUGGCACUUGAGCAACAUUGGUUUCUUUGAAAAGAAUGAACUUGAGAAUGCAACUCCCAGGACCAGAAAAGAAUGAAACUGGGCCAGUGCUUGCAUGGUCCUGCUGCUGCUCACUGCACUUUGCUUCAAAUUCUUACAUUUGCUCUCAUUUCUACAUGGCAGGUACUUGGUUCUCUCUCUCUUUCUCCCUCUUUCUCUGUGUGUGUUUAUAAUUUUUUUUUUUUUUUAACAGAGAAUUAAAACUAAACUAAAAAUUUUUUUUUUCCUUUUUUUGAGGUAAGGUCUCACUCUUCUGCCCAGACUGGAGUGAGUGGCACGAUCAUGGCUCACUACAGCCUUGACUUCCUGGGCUCAAGCAGUCCUCCCACCUCAUCCUCCCCAGUAGCUGGGACCAUAGGUCCACACCAUUGUGCCUGGCUUUUUUUUUUUUUUGGUAGUAACCCGGGUCUCACUAUGUUGCCCAGGCUGGUCUUGAACUCCUAGUUCAAGCAGUCCUCUCACCUUGGCCUCCCAAAGUGCUGAGAUUACAGGCAUGAGCCACCCAGCCCUGCACUGAAAGUUUUUUAAAAUUAAACUGAAGGCUGAGCCUACUCAAGAUCAUGUACCUAGUCACUGGGAAGGUGACUGGUUCAGUGUAUGCAUUUUGAGGAUCAAAGCAUCAGCACAGAGUACCCAAUAGGCUGUUUAAAAAAAUAAAAAUAAAUAAAAAAAAACCAAUAGGACAGGGCUUUCUAAAAACCCAACAACCAGAUAUAGGGAACAUUCAGAAAUAAAUAUCUGCCCCCAAACUGCCAGCCUCUCAGACUUUCAAAUGGAAUGAGGAUAUGCAGGUUAAGUUUCUCCUCUCUUAUCAUUCAUCUUCCAAUCUUCAGUUGAGUGUAGGUUA